CCUACGGGAGGCAGCAGUGGGGAAUCUUGCGCAAUGGGCGAAAGCCUGACGCAGCCAUGCCGCGUGAAUGAUGAAGGUCUUAGGAUUGUAAAAUUCUUUCACCGGGGACGAUAAUGACGGUACCCGGAGAAGAAGCCCCGGCUAACUUCGUGCCAGCAGCCGCGGUAAUACGAAGGGGGCUAGCGUUGCUCGGAAUUACUGGGCGUAAAGGGAGCGUAGGCGGAUAGUUUAGUCAGAGGUGAAAGCCCAGGGCUCAACCUUGGAAUUGCCUUUGAUACUGGCUAUCUUGAGUACGGAAGAGGUAUGUGGAACUCCGAGUGUAGAGGUGAAAUUCGUAGAUAUUCGGAAGAACACCAGUGGCGAAGGCGACAUACUGGUCCGUUACUGACGCUGAGGCUCGAAAGCGUGGGGAGCAAACAGGAUUAGAUACCCUGGUAGUCCACGCUGUAAACGAUGAGUGCUAGUUGUCGGCAGCAUGCUGUCGGUGACGCAGCUACGACAUAAGACACUCCGCCGUCGGGAGGUACGGUCGCGAGAAUUAAACUACAAUAGAAGUUAGACGGCGUGAGACGUGCCGAACGGACGACGACGAGGGAGGUAGG
rnacentral:rRNA from 1 species